GCGGGAGUAGCUCAGCUGGAUAGAGCAUCGGUCUUCUAAACCGAGGGUCGUGGGUUCGAAUCCCACCUCCCGCGCCA
rnacentral:tRNA from 2 species